CUCUACAAUGGAGGCGAAGCUAUUGAAGGCUCUCUCGCCAGUAUUUCCGUCUCCUCAUAUAUCGAAGUUUCUAAGCACAAGUAGCUGCUUGGAUCCCAAAACCGGGAAAUAUCCUUUUACAUUAACGCCGCGAAGCUUGGCAAGGAGACGCAUUCCAUCUAUUCGUGCAUCUGCUUCUUCCAUUGGGUUGGAAAAGAAGAAAAGGGUUGAUGAGAGUGAUAAUUUGACCCUUGAGCAUAUUAGACGUUCCUUGAUUCGACAAGAGGAUAGCAUAAUAUA
rnacentral:misc_RNA from 1 species